UGGGGAAUAUUGCACAAUGGGCGCAAGCCUGAUGCAGCAACGCCGCGUGAGGGAUGACGGCCUUCGGGUUGUAAACCUCUUUUAGCAGGGAAGAAGCGAAAGUGACGGUACCUGCAGAAAAAAGCACCGGCUAACUACGUGCCAGCAGCCGCGGUAAUACGUAGGGUGCAAGCGUUGUCCGGAAUUAUUGGGCGUAAAGAGCUCGUAGGCGGUCUGUCGCGUCUGCUGUGAAAUCCCCGAGGCUCAACCUCGGGCCUGCAGUGGGUACGGGCAGACUAGAGUGCGGUAGGGGAGAAUGGAACUCCUGGUGUAGCGGUGGAAUGCGCAGAUAUCAGGAAGAACACCGAUGGCGAAGGCAGUUCUCUGGGCCGUAACUGACGCUGAGGAGCGAAAGCGUGGGGAGCGAACAGGAUUAGAUACCCUGGUAGUCCACGCCGUAAACGUUGGGCGCUAGAUGUGGGGACCAUUCCACGGUUUCCGUGUCGCAGCUAACGCAUUAA
rnacentral:rRNA from 1 species